AUAAACGACUCUCGGCAACGGAUAUCUCGGCUCACGCAUCGAUGAAGAACGUAGCAAAAUGCGAUACUUGGUGUGAAUUGCAGAAUCCCGUGAACCAUCGAGUUUUUGAACGCAAGUUGCGCCCGAGGCCAUUCGGCUGAGGGCACGUCUGCUUGGGCGUCACG
rnacentral:rRNA from 1 species